UGCCAGCAGCCGCGGUAAUACGGAGGGUGCAAGCGUUAUUCGGAAUCACUGGGCGUAAAGGGUGCGUAGGCGGUUUGGAAAGUCUGAUGUGAAAGCCUACAGCUUAACUGUAGAACUGCAUUGGAAACUUCCAGACUAGAAUACUGAAGGGGCAGAUGGAAUUAGUGGUGUAGGGGUAAAAUCCGUAGAUAUCACUAGGAAUACCGAAAGCGAAAGCGAUCUGCUGGGAAGUUAUUGACGCUGAGGCACGAAAGCGUGGGGAGCAAACGGGAUUAGAUA
rnacentral:rRNA from 1 species